rnacentral:rRNA from 1 species
GACGAACGCUGGCGGCGUGCUUAACACAUGCAAGUCGAACGGAAAGGCCCUGCUUUUGUGGGGUGCUCGAGUGGCGAACGGGUGAGUAACACGUGAGUAACCUGCCCUUGACUUUGGGAUAACUUCAGGAAACUGGGGCUAAUACCGGAUAGGAGCUCCUGCUGCAUGGUGGGGGUUGGAAAGUUUCGGCGGUUGGGGAUGGACUCGCGGCUUAUCAGCUUGUUGGUGGGGUAGUGGCUUACCAAGGCUUUGACGGGUAGCCGGCCUGAGAGGGUGACCGGCCACAUUGGGACUGAGAUACGGCCCAGACUCCUACGGGAGGCAGCAGUGGGGAAUAUUGCACAAUGGGCGGAAGCCUGAUGCAGCAACGCCGCGUGCGGGAUGACGGCCUUCGGGUUGUAAACCGCUUUCGCCUGUGACGAAGCGUGAGUGACGGUAAUGGGUAAAGAAGCACCGGCUAACUACGUGCCAGCAGCCGCGGUGAUACGUAGGGUGCGAGCGUUGUCCGGAUUUAUUGGGCGUAAAGGGCUCGUAGGUGGUUGAUCGCGUCGGAAGUGUAAUCUUGGGGCUUAACCCUGAGCGUGCUUUCGAUACGGGUUGACUUGAGGAAGGUAGGGGAGAAUGGAAUUCCUGGUGGAGCGGUGGAAUGCGCAGAUAUCAGGAGGAACACCAGUGGCGAAGGCGGUUCUCUGGGCCCUUCCUGACGCUGAGGAGCGAAAGCGUGGGGAGCGAACAGGCUUAGAUACCCUGGUAGUCCACGCUGUAAACGGUGGGUACUAGGGGUGGGGUCCAUUCCACGGGUUCCGUGCCGUAGCUAACGCUUUAAGUACCCCGCCUGGGGAGUACGGCCGCAAGGCUAAACCUCAAAGGAAUUGACGGGGCCCCGCACAAGCGGCGGAGCAUGCGGAUUAAUUCGAUGCAACGCGUAGAACCUUACCUGGGUUUGACAUGGAUCGGGAGUGCUCAGAGAUGGGUGUGCCUCUUUUGGGGUCGGUUCACAGGUGGUGCAUGGCUGUCGUCAGCUCGUGUCGUGAGAUGUUGGGUUAAGUCCCGCAACGAGCGCAACCCUUGUUCACUGUUGCCAGCACGUUAUGGUGGGGACUCAGUGGAGACCGCCGGGGUCAACUCGGAGGAAGGUGGGGAUGACGUCAAGUCAUCAUGCCCCUUAUGUCCAGGGCUUCACGCAUGCUACAAUGGCUGGUACAGAGAGUGGCGAGCCUGUGAGGGUGAGCGAAUCUCGGAAAGCCGGUCUCAGUUCGGAUUGGGGUCUGCAACUCGACCUCAUGAAGUCGGAGUCGCUAGUAAUCGCAGAUCAGCAACGCUGCGGUGAAUACGUUCCCGGGGCU